GAUGAACGCUGGCGGCGUGCUUAACACAUGCAAGUCGAACGAGAAGUGGAGACGGAAACCUUCGGGCGGAAGACUUUAUUUCGAGUGGCGGACGGGUGAGUAACGCGUGGGUAACCUGCCUCAUACAGGGGGAUAACAGUUGGAAACGACUGUUAAUACCGCAUAAGACCACAGCACCGCAUGGUGCGGGGGUAAAAACUCCGGUGGUAUGAGAUGGACCCGCGUUCGAUUAGCCAGUUGGCGGGGUAACGGCCCACCAAAGCGACGAUCGAUGGCCGAUCUGAGAGGAUGACCGGCCACAUUGGGACUGAGACACGGCCCAAACUCCUACGGGAGGCAGCAGUGGGGAAUAUUGCACAAUGGGGGAAACCCUGAUGCAGCGACGCCGCGUGAGUGAAGAAGUAUUUCGGUAUGUAAAGCUCUAUCAGCAGGGAAGAAAAUGACGGUACCUGAGUAAGAAGCCCCGGCUAACUACGUG
rnacentral:rRNA from 1 species